GCAUUACGUGAAAACACAGAGCAUGUUGUCUCCCUUACGUGAGCACGGUUUCCCCUCGUGUUCUUAGGCUUCACUUCUGGAGUUGAAGGGGAGUGCCGCCUGCCCCUUUACCAGCCUGGAGCUCACUGAUUGCAGGAUGGAUCUGUGGUCUCUCCAGAGACUCGGGAGGGCUCUGCCACGCAGCCAUCUGCGUUCUCUCAUCCUCGAUUACAGCAGCCUGUUUGUGCAAGACACUGUGCUCUUCACUAAGGAAGAUACAAAUACAUAUAAGGCAAUGGCCC
rnacentral:lncRNA from 1 species